rnacentral:rRNA from 1 species
AUGCCACGUGUGCCAGAGAUUUGGCAGCCUGCCGCAGCCAUGGUACACAUCACCACUGGACCGCGGAUGGUCGAAGAGGGAGGAGAAGCUUCCGUGGUCGAUAGUGAAGGCAAAAAGGCAUUGCGGGAGCUCCGCACCAAGUGGAGGUGUAAGAGCAAGUCCAGCAGUUCCCCCAUCCCCUCCCUCAUCGGGAACGGCGACCUCCCCGAUCCCCUCCCCGACUCGCUGGACGAGGCAACGACUUCGCCCGGAAAACUCCCUCCCGCCACCACGCCACUGCCGUUGCUGCAUCAUCAGGGGAGGGAGAUAGGGCGCCGCCGGGCAAUGGAGGAGGGCCACGUCUGCGGUGGCUGGGGGAGGGGCGCGGCUGCCGUUGCUGGACGAGGGGAGGGGCGUGGCUGCCGCCGGGCAGUGGAUUCUGCGGGGAGGGGCGCGGCGGCAGUGGAUAAGGGGGUGGGGGUUUGCUGGCCUGUAUCAAAGAUUUUGGUAAUGGACGAUCAGAGUUAUUUUGAUCUUUUGCAAAAUGAUGUUGGAUUGAAUGAUUUGCACUGGACCGAAGAACAACAUGUCGAUCUUGAAGGGCCUGAAGAACAACAAACUGAUCUUGAGGGGCAUGACGAAGAACAAACUGAUCUCGAAGGGCCUGCAGAACCUACCCCUCCUAUGACAGCAAGGUCUUCGAAAGCAAAGGCGAAGAAAGUAAGCGCUUCCAAAGCAAGUGCUUCGAAGAGGCAAAAGAAUUUCAGCAAGGCUGAAGACUUAACUUUGGUGGAUGCGUACCUCGAGAUAACUCAAGAUCCAAUCAUAGGAGUAGACCAAUCUCGUGAUUGUUAUUGGAAAAGAAUCGAUGCUUACUUCCAUGCCAAUAAAUCUGAAGACCAUGGUCGCACACAAGGUUUUCUUCAGCAUUGUUGGGCUAUUAUUCAAGAACAAGUGAAUAGGUUUUGUGCAUGUUAUAGUCAGGUCCAGAAUAGGAACCAAAGUGGGAUGACACGUGAAAAUAAGCUAUGUCAAGCGAUUGUUCUCUUUGCCAAUGGAGACAAGGCAAAUAAAUCAUUUGGAUUGAUGCAUUGCUUUAAUAAGUUGGAAGACACCGAGAAGUGGAAAUCUCGGCCCCAGAAAAAACAGAAGACAUCCUCCUUGGAUACUCCUAAUUCAUCAUCUGCUAGUUUGUUUGAGGAUGAAGCUACAUCUCCCUCUAAAGUUGUCCCCAAGAAAAGGCCACCUGGAAUCAAGAGGGCUAAAGAUGCAGCAUGGCGGGCUCAAAGUUCUUCCAGUACAGUUAAUAGUAGUGCCAUGGAAUCAUUUGGGGGUAUCUUGGAGACAAGGGAGUCAAAAAGACAAGAGCGAUUUGAGCUCAUGAUUGCAAUGGACAAACAGAGAGAAGAAGAUAGGUUGGUAGAAGAAAGAAAGAAACUUGCAAUACAAGAAAAAAAGAUGGAAUUAGAAGAAGAAAAGAUACGAAUCAUGAGAAUAUGGCGGAAGAACGCAUGA